UGGUGUCAGCCGCCGCGGUAAUACCAGCUCUCCGAGUGGUGGGGAUGAUUAUUGGGCCUAAAGCAUCCGUAGCCGGCUGAGCAAGUCCCGUGUUAAAUCCAGCGAUUCAAUCGCUGGCCUGCGGGGGAUACUGCUUGGCUUGGGGGCGAGAGAGGCCGUCGGUAUUCCCGGGGUAGGGGUGAAAUCCUAUAAUCCCGGGAGGACCACCAGUGGCGAAGGCUGUCGGCUAGAACGCGCUCGACGGUGAGGGAUGAAAGCUGGGGGAGCGAACCGGAUUAGAUACCCGGGUAGUCCCAGCUGUAAACGAUGCAGGCUAGGUGUUAGGUCGGCCACGUGCCGCUCUAGUGCCGCAGGGAAGCUGUUAAGCCUGCCGCCUGGGGAGUACGGCCGCAAGGCUGAAACUUAAAGGAAUUGGCGGGGGAGCACCACAAGGGGUGAAGCUUGCGGUUUAAUUGGAGUCAACGCCGGAAAUCUCACCGGGGGCGACAGCAGGAUGAAAGCCAGAUUAAAGGUCUUGCCAGACGAGCUGAGAGGAGGUGCAUGGCCGUCGCCAGUUCGUGCCGUGAGGUGUCCUGUUAAGUCAGGUAACGAUCGAGACCCGCAUCCCCCGUUGCUACUAGCCUUGUGCUGGGCACACUGGGGAGACCGCCAUCGAUAAGAUGGAGGAAGGAGCGGGCCACGGCAGGUCAGUAUGCCCCGAAUCUCCCGGGCCACACGCGAGCUGCAAUGGUAGGUACAAUGGGUUCCGACCCCGAAAGGGGAAGGCAAUCCCGAAAACCUGCCGUAGUUGGGAUCGAGGGCUGUAACUCGCCCUCGUGAACAUGGAAUCCCUAGUAAUCGCGUGUCAUCAUCGCGCGGUGAAUACGUCCCUGCUCCUUGCACACACCGC
rnacentral:rRNA from 1 species